AAACCCCUACAGCAUUCUAUUUAAGUGGAUCACCUGGUAUUGGGAAAUGAAAUUGCUCUGGAGUUUUUCUGCUUAGCUGCCAACUCUGUAGUGUUUACAGUUAUUUUUUAAUGAACUGUCAGAAGCCUGGAGUUCCAUUUGUAGAGUCGUUAUGCUAGCCAGAGUACAUGACUAUUUUUCAGUUAUACAAAUGUUAAUCAAAGAUACAUAUAAGAAAAAAAUUCCCUAGAAUUCACCAAGUUGAGAUUAUUACAGUAUUUUUGUAGAAAGUUUUACUUCAUAUACAAUCAUGAGUUAAUACUUUAAAGCAUUCUUUGGAUGAUAAAAAAUUCUCUUUUUUUCCCCCAGUGCUUCAUCAUCAAUUAUUAUUGUUGAUGACCUGUGAAAUACUGCUUUUCUGUACACUGUGAA
rnacentral:lncRNA from 1 species